rnacentral:rRNA from 1 species
AGGAUGAACGCUGGCGGCGUGCCUAACACAUGCAAGUCGAACGUCCUGUCUCGCAAGAGGCAGGGAGUGGCGGACGGGUGAGUACCACGUGGGUCAUCUACCGUGAGGUGAGGAAUACCGGCGAGAAAUCGCCGACAAGACCGCAUAGCCUCGGUGCAAGUCGAGGAAAGCUCUCUCGAGAGAGGGAGCGCCACACGAGGAGCCUGCGCCCGAUUAGCUAGCUGGUGGAGUAAUGGUUCACCAGGGCGACGAUCGGUAGCUGGUCUGAGAGGACGAUCAGCCACACUGGGAUUGAGAACGGCCCAGACUCCUACGGGGGGCAGCAGUGAGGAAUUUUCGUCAAUGGGGCAACCCUGAACGAGCAACGCCGCGUGCAGGAAGAAGGUUUCGGAUCGUAAACUGCUUUUCUCGGGAAGAGAACGGACGGUACCGAGGAAUCAGCCCCGGCUAACUACGUGCCAGCAGCCAC